ensembl:lncRNA
UGAUGUGCCAGUGCAGUAAUGCCGCUAAAAGAGGCUCGUCACAUCUGACCUGAUGCACAAUGAUCUGAUUGUUCUGUCUGUCUGUCUGUCUGUCUGUCUGUCUGUCUGUCUGUCUGUCCGCAGGUCCUCGUGUGCCGGCCCCACCCCCCCCAGUGUGGAUGGUUCAGGCAGGGCCUCCAGUGGGCGGCCCCAGGCCCAGGCCCACCCCCACCCCCACCCUGACUGGGGCCCCUGGACCCCUCAGACUCCUGGAGACUCAGACGGGGAGGAGCAGGAGGAGUGCCUGCCUAAACUCCCAUGGGAGAAGCGUGCGUUCCCACUCAUUGGGGAAGAAGAGGAGGCUCUGGGGUCUGAUGGUGAAGAAGAAGAGGAGGAGCCGCUGGCCACGGCCUGGUCGGAGGGGGAGGGCAGCAACUCCACUGGAAGCUACAGCGGCUCUGAGCUGGCUGGCCCCACAGCGCCCUCCAGUGGACGUAGGAGGAAGCGCACAUGGAAGACUCCCAGACUGCACAGCUGACGUCUGAGGUUGCCAUGGCGUCCUGAACCCAGCACAGAACUCCCAGCAGCCCAGAGGUUACCAGAGCCCACAGGAAAGGACAUUAAACCCAGGAAGGGUCAGCGGGACCUGACUGAGACCUGUGAACUGGUCCCACUAUGUUGAAGUCUGGUCCGACCAGCCUGGUGUCAGAAUUGGACCCGACCCUCAGGGGCUAAGAAGGCCGGUACUGGAUGCCUUGUGACUUUGUCAGGCCACAGUGUGUUGCUGUGCAGCACGUGUGUGUUUUUAUCGUCACCCGUCUUUCAGAGUGUACUCUUGCUGUGUUUGGCCACAUGUGUUUUUUUGACAGAUGUGGACUUCUUGCACAAUACAAGAGUGUCCAUCUGCAAGUACAGGUCUUUAUUGAAUCUCCUCUUUUCAGAAGUUUUUUUUCAAUUUCAAACUGUCCUUCACAUAUUUAUUCCACAGAGAGUUUUUGUUUGUUUAUUUCAUUUGUUGUUUUGUUUAUGUAGUCUUCAUUACACUACAACUAGAGGUAUUUGUAUCAUUAUAUUGUAUAUUGGGAAAAAAAAGUUCAGAAACUGGACUGUGCUAGUUCACUGUUAACAUUUCUUUUAAAGUUAUUGCAGUAUAAAAUCUAAGCGUUCUGGGUUUUAUUGUAAAGUAUUUAUUUAUUUAUAUGUGUGAUAACAUUUGUGUGAGUGUGUGUGUGUGAGCAUGCAUGUUGACAUGUGGACCAUUUGUAUCUAAACAUGAACAUGCAUUAGAUACCAGUCCGUAAAGCAGAUUUCAGUUGUAAUGUUUUUAAUGUUUGAAAGCAAUGUUCUACAUGUGUAAGUGAUGUUCUCUCAUUUACAAAGUCUUCGGUGUGUCACUGUAACAUGGUUAAUGUCAGUAUGUUCGAAGUAAAUGCUGAUCAUCACAAGAAAAUAGUUUUUGGCUCCUGUCUAUGGCACUAAUGGACCGUACCAUUACUACUAGCUUCAUACCUCAACAGUCAUGCUGAUGAAAUGAAUGAAUCUUUACAGCUACAUGUACAUGGCACUUUU